GGAAGGGGCGCUUUUAUUAGAUCAAAACUAUUCGCCCGGUUCCACCGGGCGUUGUAGUGAUGACUCUAGAUAACACUUCAGAUCGUAUGGUCACCGUACCGGCGACUUAUCUUUCAAAUGCCUGACUUAUCAACUGUCGAUGGUAGACUCUGUGUCUACCAUGGCUCUUACGGGUAACGGGGAAUCAGGGUUCGAUUCCGGAGAGGGAGCCUGAGAAACGGCUACCACAUCCAAGGAAGGCAGCAGGCACGCAAAUUACCCACUCCCGGCACGGGGAGGUAGUGACAAAAAAUAACGAUACGGGACUCUUAUGAGGCCUCGUAAUCGGAAUGAGUACACUUUAAAUCCUUUAACAAGGAUCCAUUGGAGGGCAAGUCUGGUGCCAGCAGCCGCGGUAAUUCCAGCUCCAAUAGCGUAUAUUAAAGUUGUUGCGGUUAAAAAGCUCGUAGUUGGUUUUGCGUGCCACGCUGUCGGUACACCGUUUGUCGGUGCAACUGGCAUGCCGUGGCAUGUCCUGUCGGUGGUGACCGGAGGCCUGGCGUGCCGAAGCUUCUGCCCAAGGCUGCCGUGGGUUUUUCGGUCGCCGACUAUAUCCUACCGCGGUGCUCUUAACUGAGUGUCGAGGUAGGCCGACACGUUUACUUUGAACAAAUUAGAGUGCUUAAAGCAGGCUAAAAUCUCUGCCUGAAUAGUGGUGCAUGGAAUGAUGGAACAGGACCUUGGUUCUAUUUUGUUGGGUUUUCGGAACACAAGGUAAUGAUCAAUAUGGACAGGCGGGGGCAUUCGUAUUGCGACUCCGAUGACUCGGCGGGGAGCUUUCCCCGGGAAACCAAAGCUUUUGGGUUCCGGGGGAAGUAUGGUUGCAAAGCUGAAACUUAAAGGAAUUGACGGAAGGGCACCACCAGGAGUGGAGCCUGCGGCUUAAUUUGACUCAACACGGGAAACCUCACCAGGUCAGGACAUUGGAAGGAUUGACAGAUUGAUAGCUCUUUCUUGAUUCAGUGGGUAGUGGUGCAUGGCCGUUCUUAGUUGGUGGAUCGAUUUGUCUGGUUAAUUCCGAUAACGAACGAGACUCUAGCCUAUUAACUAGACGAUUCUGAUAUCGUAGCUACCAGCGAAAUAUAUUCUUCUUAAGGGGACAGGCGGCUUAUAGCCGCACGAGAUUGAGCAAUAACAGGUCUGUGAUGCCCUUAGAUGUCCUGGGCCGCACGCGCGCUACACUGAAGGAAUCAGCGUGUGCGUUCCCUUGGCCGAAAGGUCCGGGUAACCCGCUGAACCUCCUUCGUGCUAGGAAUUGGGGCUUGCAAUUGUUCCCCAUGAACGAGGAAUUCCCAGUAAGCGCGAGUCAUAAGCUCGCGUUGAUUACGUCCCUGCCCUUUGUACACACCGCCCGUCGCUACUACCGAUUGAAUGAUUUAGUGAGGUCUUCGGACCGGCGGUAAGCCUUACCGACCUGUCGGUUUUGAUGAACGCUGGGAAAGGAUG
rnacentral:rRNA from 2 species